GCCGGGCGAAGUGGCGAACGCUUGUAAUCCAGCUACUUGGAGGCUUGGCUUUGAGAAUGACUCGAGGCAAGGAGUCCUGUAGUGGAACGGAACAUGCCGACCGAGCGUCCAGGUCAAGAGCGGCGUCAAUAUGGUAACCAUUGAGGAGUUAAUGGGAACCAGGUUAGUCAAAGAGGGAUGAUACCGGCUGAGGGCGGCAACGCAGCAGGCAAAAGUCUCCGCGUCGUUACAAUGAUCGGAUAGCGCUUGUGAAUGGUCCGUCCAUUGCAGCUUUGCCCAAACAGUUUGACUUCAGCCUUU
rnacentral:SRP_RNA from 1 species